rnacentral:rRNA from 1 species
CGAGGCGGGCGGCGUGCUUACACAUGCAAGUCGAGCGGUAAGGCCCUUCGGGGUACACGAGCGGCGAACGGGUGAGUAACACGUGGGUGAUCUGCCUUGCACUCUGGGAUAAGCCUGGGAAACUGGGUCUAAUACCGGAUAUGAGCCUGAACUGCAUGGUUCGGGUUGGAAAGAUUUAUCGGUGCGAGAUGGGCCCGCGGCCUAUCAGCUUGUUGGUGAGGUAACGGCUCACCAAGGCGACGACGGGUAGCCGGCCUGAGAGGGCGACCGGCCACACUGGGACUGAGACACGGCCCAGACUCCUACGGGAGGCAGCAGUGGGGAAUAUUGCACAAUGGGCGAAAGCCUGAUGCAGCGACGCCGCGUGAGGGAUGACGGCCUUCGGGUUGUAAACCUCUUUCGACAGGGACGAAGCGCAAGUGACGGUACCUGUAGAAGAAGCACCGGCUAACUACGUGCCAGCAGCCGCGGUAAUACGUAGGGUGCGAGCGUKKYCCGGAAAUUACUGGGCGUAAAGAGCUUGUAGGCGGUCUGUCACGUCGGUCGUGAAAACUCACAGCUCAAACUGUGGGCCUGCGGUCGAUACGGGCAGACUAGAGUACUUCAGGGGAGACUGGAAUUCSUGGUGUAGCGGUGAAAUGCGCAGAUAUCAGGAGGAACACCGGUGGCGAAGGCGGGUCUCUGGGAAGUAACUGACGCUGAGAAGCGAAAGCGUGGGUAGCGAACAGGAUUAGAUACCCUGGUAGUCCACGCCGUAAACGGUGGGUACUAGGUGUGGGUUUCCUUCCACGGGAUCCGUGCCGUAGCUAACGCAUUAAGUACCCCGCCUGGGGAGUACGGCCGCAAGGCUAAAACUCAAAGGAAUUKRMSGGGGCCCGCACAAGCGGCGGAGCAUGUGGGAUUAAUUCGAUGCAACGCGAAGAACCCUUACCUGGGUUUGACAUACMMCCGGGAAAGCCGUAGAGAUACGGCCCCCCCYUKKKGUCGGUGUACAGKUGGUGCAUGGCUGUCGUCAGCUCGUGUCGUGAGAUGUUGGGUUAAGUCCCGCAACGAGCGCAACCCUUAUCUUAUGUUGCCAGCGCGUAAUGGCGGGGACUCGUGAGAGACUGCCGGGGUCAACUCGGAGGAAGGUGGGGACGACGUCAAGUCAUCAUGCCCCUUAUGUCCAGGGCUUCACACAUGCUACAAUGGCCGGUACAGAGGGCUGCGAUACCGUGAGGUGGAGCGAAUCCCUUAAAGCCGGUCUCAGUUCGGAUCGGGGUCUGCAACUCGACCCCGUGAAGUUGGAGUCGCUAGUAAUCGCAGAUCAGCAACGCUGCGGUGAAUACGUUCCCGGGCCUUGUACACACCGCCCGUCACGUCAUGAAAGUCGGUAACACCCGAAGCCGGUGGCCUAACCCUUGUGGAGGGAGCCGUCGAAGGUGGGAUGGCAAGA